rnacentral:rRNA from 1 species
GAUGAACGCUGGCGGCGUGCCUAAUACAUGCAAGUCGAGCGAACAGACGAGGAGCUUGCUCCUCUGACGUUAGCGGCGGACGGGUGAGUAACACGUGGAUAACCUACCUAUAAGACUGGGAUAACUUCGGGAAACCGGAGCUAAUACCGGAUAAUAUAUUGAACCGCAUGGUUCAAUAGUGAAAGACGGUUUUGCUGUCACUUAUAGAUGGAUCCGCGCCGCAUUAGCUAGUUGGUAAGGUAACGGCUUACCAAGGCAACGAUGCGUAGCCGACCUGAGAGGGUGAUCGGCCACACUGGAACUGAGACACGGUCCAGACUCCUACGGGAGGCAGCAGUAGGGAAUCUUCCGCAAUGGGCGAAAGCCUGACGGAGCAACGCCGCGUGAGUGAGGAAGGUCUUCGGAUCGUAAAACUCUGUUAUUAGGGAAGAGCAAAUGUGUAAGUAACUAUGCACGUCUUGACGGUACCUAAUCAGAAAGCCACGGCUAACUACGUG